rnacentral:lncRNA from 1 species
GCCACCAAGGUGUCAAGCAGUACAAACCCUCAAGGACUGACGAUGAAGGGGGAUGAUCAUCGAAGGAGGAAAUCAGAGGAAACUGCAAGAGGGGAGGGCUUCACAGUUCAUCCGGCCACCAUUGGAAAAGAAGCUGCAAGCACCGGCUAUCUAAGGAGUGGAGGAGCCCCAGCCACCAUUGGGAGGAAGCACCAGCUGAAGGAGGAGUGGAGCGAAGAAAGAAACCCU